CCUACGGGUGGCAGCAGUAGGGAAUCUUCCACAAUGGGCGAAAGCCUGAUGGAGCAACGCCGCGUGGGUGAAGAAGGUCUUCGGAUCGUAAAACUCUGUUGUUCGAGAAGAAAGUGCGUGAGAGUAACUGUUCACGUUUCGACGGUAUCUACCCAGAACGCCACGGCUAACUCCGUGCCAGCAGCCGCGGGAAUACGUAGGUGGCAAGCGUUAUCCGGAUUUAUUGGGCGUAAAGGGAACGCAGGCGGUCUUUUAAGUCUGAUGUGAAAGCCUUCGGCUUAACCGGGGUAGUGCAUUGGAAACUGGGAGACUUGAGUGGAGAAGAGGAGAGUGGAACUCCAUGUGUAGCGGUGAAAUGCGUAGAUAUAUGGAAGAACACCAGUGGCGAAGGCGGCUCUCUGGUCUGUAACUGACGCUGAGGUUCGAAAGCGUGGGGAGCAAACAGGAUUAGAUACCCCGGUAGUC
rnacentral:rRNA from 1 species